GACGAACGCUGGCGGUGUGCUUAACACAUGCAAGUCGAACGAAGAGCGAUGGAAGCUUGCUUCUAUCAAUCUUAGUGGCGCACGGGUGAGUAACGCGUAAUCAACCUGCCCUUCAGAGGGGGACAACAGUUGGAAACGACUGCUAAUACCGCAUACGAUCUAAUCUCGGCAUCGAGGAUAGAUGAAAGGUGGCCUCUACAUGUAAGCUAUCACUGAAGGAGGGGAUUGCGUCUGAUUAGCUAGUUGGAGGGGUAACGGCCCACCAAGGCGAUGAUCAGUAGCCGGUCUGAGAGGAUGAACGGCCACAUUGGGACUGAGACACGGCCCAGACUCCUACGGGAGGCAGCAGUGGGGAAUCUUCCGCAAUGGACGAAAGUCUGACGGAGCAACGCCGCGUGAGUGAUGACGGCCUUCGGGUUGUAAAGCUCUGUUAAUCGGGACGAAAGGCCUUCUUGCGAAUAGUGAGAAGGAUUGACGGUACCGGAAUAGAAAGCCACGGCUAACUACGUG
rnacentral:rRNA from 1 species